rnacentral:lncRNA from 1 species
CCAGGGAAUGAGUUCUAUGCCAUGGCAGAAAGCCUUUUGUUGCUCUUCUGUCGAACUUGUGUCCCAGUCCUUCAGCUGCUCAAAUAUAUCACUUUCAGAAUCUGAAAGAUCUCCAAUUAUAAAUAGAACAUGGUUUGAACCAGAAGCUUUCUUUACACGUACUGCAUGGUAACGGUUUCUGUCCUUCAAGGAGUUUUUUCUCGAAUUGCUUCCUUCACUG